UACUAAAGAGUCAAAUUAUAUAUCAACUGGUUAAAAGGUAGUUAGAUAUCAAAAAGUUUUAGGAUUUUAUUAUACAUAGGUAAAAUUUGUUUAUAAUUUAAUACGUUAUAGGAAACUUAGUUAUUGAAGCUACGAAAUCUUUGAAAUAAACUGGGAUUGGAUACCCCAUUAUUCUUAGACUUAAAUUUAAUUAUAUUUACCAGAGUACUACAAACAAGGUUUAAAACUCAAAGAACUUGGCGGUGCUUUAUACCUUUUAGGGGAACCUGUCUCAUAAUCGACAAUCCACGAAACACCUUACCUUUUUUUGUAAAUCAGCCUGUAUACCGUUGUCGUCAGGUAACUCUUUAAGACUAAAAAGUUAGCUAUAAAGUAAUUACACUUCUACGUCAAAUCAAGGUGCAGUUUAUAUAAAGGAGAGGAUGGGUUACAAUUAAUAUUUAUAAAUACGGAUUUAAUAAAGAAUUUAAUAAUGAAGGAGGACUUAAAAGUAAAAUUAUAUAUAUAAAUUAUUUGAAUAGGGCUCUUAAGCGCGC
rnacentral:rRNA from 1 species